AGAAGUCUUUGAGGCAAGGUGCGAGGGGAACCUCAAUUCCUGACCGGCGGUAUAAUAGUCCGCAAGCUCUUGAGAGCAGAUCCGGUGAUAUUCCGGAACCGACAGUAAAGUCUGGAUGGGAAAAGACAGUA
rnacentral:ncRNA from 2 species